rnacentral:rRNA from 1 species
GCGUCCGAGUUGUAAUCUAUAGAGGCGUUUUCCGCGCCGGACCGCGUCCAAGUCUCUUGGAAUAGAGUAUCAAAGAGGGUGACAAUCCCGUACUUGACGCGACAACCGGUGCUCUGUGAUACGUUCUCAAUGAGUCGAGUUGUUUGGGAAUGCAGCUCUAAAUGGGUGGUAAAUUCCAUCUAAGGCUAAAUAUUGGCGAGAGACCGAUAGCGAACAAGUACCGUGAGGGAAAGAUGAAAAGCACUUUGGAAAGAGAGUUAAACAGCACGUGAAAUUGUUAAAAGGGAAACGAUUGAAGUCAGUCGUGUGAAAGGUAUUCAGCCGUCUCUGGCGGUGUAUUUGCCUUUCACGGGUCAACAUCAGUUUGAUCCGGUAGAAAAAGGCGGGAGGAAGGUGGCACCCUCGGGUGUGUUAUAGCCUCCUGUCAUAUGUGCCGGACCAGACUGAGGAACGCAGCUUGCCGCAAGGCCGGGGUUCGCCCACGUACAAGCUUAGGAUGUUGACAUAAUGGCUUUAAACGACCCGUCUUGAAACACGGACCA